rnacentral:misc_RNA from 1 species
CCUUUCUAAGGAGCACCAUUUCCCAGUCGAAUGAACUAGGGAACAUAAAGUAGGCAUCUGUAGCCGGGUAUCUACUUGGUGAAUAUGUUUUGUAAAUCCUGUCCACCCCCGUGGAUGGGUAGUCGGCAAAACGUCGGACUGUCAUAAGAAUUGAAACGCUGGCACACUGUUGGGUCCUGAGGCAACACGUUGUGUUGUCACCCUGCUUGGUGGUGGGGUGUGGACUUUGACUUCUGAAUAGUGGUUGCGAGCGGAUGCCUUGA